CUUACACAUGCAGUCGAGCGGAACGAUACCAGCUUGCUGGUAGGCGUCGAGCGGCGGACGGGUGAGUAAUACUUAGGAAUCUACCUAGUAGUGGGGGAUAGCUCGGGGAAACUCGAAUUAAUACCGCAUACGACCUACGGGAGAAAGGGGGCAGUUUACUGCUCUCGCUAUUAGAUGAGCCUAAGUCGGAUUAGCUAGAUGGUGGGGUAGAGGCCUACCAUGGCGACGAUCUGUAGCUGGUCUGAGAGGAUGAUCAGCCACACUGGGACUGAGACACGGCCCAGACUCCUACGGGAGGCAGCAGUGGGGAAUAUUGGACAAUGGGGGAAACCCUGAUCCAGCCAUGCCGCGUGUGUGAAGAAGGCCUUUUGGUUGUAAAGCACUUUAAGCAGUGAAGAAGACUCCUCGGCUAAUACCCGUGGACGAUGACAUUAGCUGCAGAAUAAGCACCGGCUAACUCUGUGCCAGCAGCCGCGGUAAUACAGAGGGUGCAAGCGUUAAUCGGAAUUACUGGGGGUAAAGCGAGCGUAGGUGGCUUGAUAAGUCAGAUGUGAAAUCCCCGGGCUUAACCUGGGAACUGCAUCUGAAACUGUUAGGCUAGAGUAGGUGAGAGGAAGGUAGAAUUCCAGGUGUAGCGGUGAAAUGCGUAGAGAUCUGGAGGAAUACCGAUGGCGAAGGCAGCCUUCUGGCAUCAUACUGACACUGAGGCUCGAGAGCGUGGGUAGCAAACAGGAUUAGAUACCCUGGUAGUCCACGCCGUAAACGAUGUCUACUAGUCGUUGGGUCCCUUGAGGACUUAGUGACGCAGCUAACGCAAUAAGUAGACCGCCUGGGGAGUACGGCCGCAAGGUUAAAACUCAAAUGAAUUGACGGGGGCCCGCACAAGCGGUGGAGCAUGUGGUUUAAUUCGAUGCGACGCGAAGAACCUUACCUGUCUUGACAUAUCUAGAAUCCUGCAGAGAUGCGGGAGUGCCUUCGGGAAUUAGAAUACAGGUGCUGCAUGGCUGUCGUCAGCUCGUGUCGUGAGAUGUUGGGUUAAGUCCCGCAACGAGCGCAACCCUUGUCCUUAGUUACCAGCGGGUUAAGCCGGGAACUUUAAGGAUACUGCCAGUGACAAACUGGAGGAAGGCGGGGACGACGUCAAGUCAUCAUGGCCCUUACGACCAGGGCUACACACGUGCUACAAUGGUAGGUACAGAGGGCAGCUACACAGCGAUGUGAUGCGAAUCUCAAAAAGCCUAUCGUAGUCCAGAUUGGAGUUUGCAACUCGACUCCAUGAAGUAGGAAUCGCUAGUAAUCGCGGAUCAGAA
rnacentral:rRNA from 1 species